AGAAUCAACGCUGGCGGCGUGCCUCAGACAUGCAAGUCGAACGCGAUUUGAGUCUUCGGACUCAAGUUGAGUGGCGCACGGGUGAGUAACACGUAGGUAAUCUACCUUUGGGUGGGGAAUAACAGCCGGAAACGGCUGCUAAUACCGCAUAAUGCAGCGGCAUCACGAUGAUGACAGUUGUUAAAGCGGGGGAUCGAAAGACCUCGCGCCAGAAGAGGAGCCUGCGGCAGAUUAGCUAGUUGGUAGGGUAACGGCCUACCAAGGCUACGAUCUGUA
rnacentral:rRNA from 1 species